rnacentral:rRNA from 1 species
GAAUAUUGGACAAUGGGCGAAAGCCUGAUCCAGCAAUGCCGCGUGAGUGAUGAAGGCCUUAGGGUUGUAAAGCUCUUUUACCCGGGAUGAUAAUGACCGUACCUGAAGAAGAAGCCCCGGCUAACUUCGUGCCAGCAGCCGCGGUAAUACGAAGGGGGCUAGCGUUGUUCGGAAUUACUGGGCGUAAAGCGCACGUAGGCGGAUUUUUAAGUCAGGUGGGAAAUCCCGGGGCUCAACCUCGGAACUGCAUUUGAAACUGGAAGUCUUGAGACCAGGAGAGGUUAGCGGAAUACCGAGUGUAGAGGUGAAAUUCGUAGAUAUUCGGUGGAACACCAGUGGCGAAGGCGGCUAACUGGACUGGUACUGACGCUGAGGUGCGAAAGUGUGGGGAGCAAACAGG